AUCCCCAGAUAGCUUAGAUCUGAGCGCACAUUAUUACCGAAUGGUGCUCAGAUCACCUACAUACAGUUCAAUCACCAUGGAGCCAAAGUCUUUUCCAUAGUCUUUUGUUACAUGAAUAGGCUCCAUGGCAUAGCUAUCUGGGGUAGCACUACUCACAUACUGAAAGUCCCGAACGCCCCGGCAGAAAUACACAAAUAAACCUCUCUG